rnacentral:rRNA from 1 species
CCUACGGGGGGCUGCAGUGGGGAAUAUUGGGCAAUGGACGCAAGUCUGACCCAGCAAUGCCGCGUGAAGGAAGAAGGCCUUCGGGUUGUAAACUUCUUUUAAGGGGGAAGAGCAGAAGACGGUACCCCUUGAAUAAGCCACGGCUAACUAGGUGCCAGCAGCCGCGGUAAUACGUCGGUGGCAGGCGUUGUCCGGAUUUACUGGGUGUAAAGGGCGUGCAGCCGGAGAGACAAGUCAGGUGGGAAAUCCACGGGCUCAACCCGUGAACUGCAAUUGAAACUGUUUCCCUUGAGUGUCGGAGAGGUGAGCGGAAUGCCUGGUGUAGCGGUGAAAUGCGUAGAUAUAAGGAAGAACACCAGUGGCGAAGGCGGAUUACUGGACGAUAACUGACGGUGAGGCGCGAAAGCGUGGGGAGCAAACAGGAUUAGAUACCCGUGUAGUC